ncrna:unclassified sequences PhotoRC-II RNA
UUACGUUGUACCACACGCCUUACCGAGACUAAACAGCGUGUUUAAAAAACAGUCUCUCAUACCUCAGGCGGAGGGUGUCUGAGGAAUAUUCUAACUU